AUAAUGCAUCAACAAAUUUCUUGAUUAAAAAAAUAACGGAUUUACAAAACCAUGUAGGAUUCAAUACAAAGCCAGAUUUAGGCGGUGAAUUUGGCGGAAAUAUUAAUGGUUAAUAUCGUGGGGAAAGUUUAACCAUAAAUGGGCUGGAACAGUGAAUAACAAAAAGGUAGUCACAUAAUUAUAGGAUUCAGAACUAGAUCCCACACACACUAUACCAUGAGGUUAGAAAGUUAAUAGUACUUGCAGGCACUACACCAUUUUAGGUCUACAGCCACACUAAUUCUGAACUAAGCUUUUAAAGUGUUGCCUAAAGUAUUUUUGGGAACGUUUUUAAAGUGUAGCAAUAUUUUUUAACUUUUAACAACGAUAAUAUUAGCAACACUUGAAAAGCGUACUUUUUAAUGAUAUAAGCUACACUUUGUAAGUGUUAUUACAAUAUGAUACAAUUGGCAACAAAUUUUUACAUAUAUGGCCAUACUUUUAAAGUGUACUAUUUUUAUCAUUGUAAAAACAACACUUUAUAAGUGUGGCCCUAAAAUUUUCACCAAAAUUUUAUAUUCCCUCCAAUAAUUUUAACUCUCCCAUUUUAAUUGGCCAUAAAAAUAAACAUUAAUAAUAAAUUAUAAAAAUAUUAAGACAAAAAGAUGCUCUCUUUCACUUCACUGUAGAACGCGUCAAGCUGAAGAGAGAGCUGAAGAACUGAUCAAGUUGAAGAACUCAUCUUUCAAUAUGGGCAUUAGAUUGUCAAGAAAGAUGUUAUAUUUCUCGCUUCAGCAGUUCCACGAAGUAACAAUGUUACCAUCAUCUAAUUGGAGUCACUUUCAGUUGGGUCGGAAUCGAAUAUCGAAAUGGUGUUCGAUUCUAUGCAGAAACUUGAUAAAACAAUUGAGGAAGAGGUUGUUAAUUGGAGGACAAAGCUAAUGGAAUGGAUGAUCCCUGUCUGAUGUGUUGGUGAAUGAAUCGCCAGUGUGGAUGCUGACAGUCAUAGGUCUAUUGAUGUGGCUGCAAGAAUGGCCCUUGUUGAAUACAACACUGAAAAUAUUGAUUCACCCAUUUUAACCGUUAAGGAUGCUGUUGAAAAAUCUAGCUUUUGGGUGCAACACUUCUUCCAUUAAUUCUGCAAGAGCUGUAAUGGAAAGGAGAGAACAUGUAUACUUUGAUUUGCCUUCAGCUGGUGCAAUAUUUAUGCGUUUAGAGCUGCCCCAAAAUGAAACUUGUUCGAUGUUGUUUGAACUCCCCAUGUACUUUCGCUCGCCUUCACCUUAGGAAGAAAAGUCAUGAUCUUGAACUCAAUCCCCAACUAGAUGACAGUUAAGGCCAAGACGAAGGUCAUCUAAGUAGAAGACACUUCAUGGCAGAACUAGGAGCAGCUGAUCUAUUGCCUAUUCAUCCUUCACAUGCUUCUGAUGUUUCAUCUCCUCCUGAUUCCAUGGUAAUAUAUAUAUAAUGCUUCAAGUUUUUAUCUUUUAUUAUUCAUAUUUCGUACUUGAUUAGGACAGAUUUGUUUAUAUAUGUUAUAUUAGGUACUGGCAACUUUCUUAUUUUUAACACUAUUAAUUUUUUUAUAUUGGAGUAGUGUUUUUCUUCAUUUAUUGUAAUAUAUUUGAAUAUCUUUAGACUAAACCUGAUUUUAGGAGCUUGUAUGUAGUCUAUAUUAAGGAAUAUUUUAUCACGUAACAUGCCUAUGUAUUUCUGCUAGUUCUGGCAUCAUGUUGUUGCAGGAUGAGUUAGAGACAGAACUUAAAAGAAUUAGAAGAGCAACUGCUUCAACCUGUAGCUACAGUUUCUGCUGCUCCAGCCCAUGUUCCUGCAGGAAGCAAGCUGCUCGGCCCGUUCCUUAGAAGCGUACAGCUGAAGAAGAUGAACUUGCUGAAUGAAGUUGCUUUUUGAUGAAGUGAAAGAGGAGCAGAGUAAGAGAGGAGACUAUUCACUGAACUUCUACAGAAACAGAUUGAAAAAGAGAGGUCAAGAGUUCCUAAAGAAACUCCAUUUCUUUACACAACUGAUUACCCAAUGAUUCCACCAAAACCAUAACCAAAGCAUUGUACAAAACCAGAACCUUUCCAACUAGAGAGUCUGGUCAGGCAUGAAAGACAGAUGCAGAGGGAAUUUGAAGAACGGCGAAGAUUGGAAAAUGAAGAAGCAAUGAUGAGGACUUUUAUAGCGCAACCAAUCUUGAUCGAGGAUCCAAUUCUACAUCCUGAGAAAGUACGUAAGCCCCUCACUAAAGUUCAGGAAUUUAAUGUACACGUGGAUCAUCGUGCACCAGAUAGAGCUGAGUUUGAUAAGAAGGUAAUUCUUUAGCUAUUCACGUGCAACUUUCUCUUAGAGCUAAGCCUAUAUCCACUCAUGUUGUGUAAGCUUUUGCACAUAUUAAGGAGAAAGAAAUGAUGAAUCAAAGAUACAGAGAGGAGGCAGAAGCUACAAGAAUGGUAUGCAUGUUAUAAACUAUGGUGUUAUUUCGAGCAACACUAAUGAUUUCAAUAGACUUAUUUUUAUGUCUGGAUGCAUUGUGGUGGUUAGAUGGAGGAAGAUAUGGCUCUGAAACAACUACGGAAAACCUUGGUGCCUCAUGCAAGACCUUUGCCUAAAUUUGAUCAUCCUUUCCUGCCACAAAUUUAUUGAAAAAUUCAUGCUAUUCUUUGUUUUUCUUCUUUACAUAUUGAAAUUUGGAACAACUACUGAAACUUUUUUUCACACACAGGUCAUCCAAACAAGUGACAAUCUAAGAUCCCCCAAGUUUGUUCUUAAAAGGCAAGAAAGGAGAAUAUACCAGCUAUAAAUUGUUGGUGUGUUAAUUUGGCUUGCACCAUGAUGAAAGCAAAAACGAUCUCACAAUCAAAACAAAGAAAGUAGCAUUGUGUAUUUUACUAUGUGGAUAUGUUGUGUCUUAUCUCUUCAGAUCAAACGUCUAGUUCACCUUCACAUUUCUGGUUGUGAUGUCGUAGGAAUAUAUUGUUGUGUAUUUGACUAUGUGGAUUUUAAAUCUAUAGCUUUGAUUUAUUUAUUGGCUAAUUUUGAGUUUUA